CAGGGGCAGCGGGUGACGGGGAGGUGGAAGUGGAAAUGCUAAGAAAGCUAAAUAUUGUGGUUAAGUCGGAAAUGUGGAUUUCUGACCCUUUUAGGAGGAAGAGGAUGUGGCUGAGUGUGGCACUGGGGCACGUGAAUGCCCACAUGCAGAGGGGAUGCCUGACAAUUAAACCACCCAUAAAGCAAGGCAUUAUAAAUGGCUGUGAGUGUGGCCAGCAUUGACUUUGGGCAACAGAGGUCCGGAUUUGCUAAGCCUCACGGGUCCUCUAAGGCUGUGCUCUCCUAGCUGAAUCCACACAUCAGCCCUCUCCGGAGACCUGCUGGAUGGUCCUCACCGCUGUGUCAUUUGAAAGCGCUCUUGGCCUUUGUUUCCUCCUAGAACACACAUUGUCCUGCAAAGAGCAUGUGCUUCAGAUGUUAUCUUAUUUCAUCCUUACAUGUGGGUUUUACCGUCCCCUUGAACAAGGAGAAAACUAAGGCUGAGAACAUUAAAGUAGCACGAUCAUGGCAGAGGUGAGAUUUUUAAAGCCGACCUGACACCAAGUCCCACACUCUUUCUGUUGAACCUCCAUACC